rnacentral:rRNA from 1 species
UACGAAGGUCCCAAGCGUUGUUCGGAAUCACUGGGCGUAAAGGGAGCGUAGGCGGCGUGGUAAGUCAGAUGUGAAAUCCCGGGGCUCAACCCCGGAACUGCAUCCGAUACUGCCAUGCUUGAAGGUUGGAGAGGUAGCUGGAAUUAUCGGUGUAGCAGUGAAAUGCGUGGAUAUCGAUAGGAACACUCGUGGCGAAGGCGAGCUACUGGACAACAACUGACGCUGAGGCUCGAAGGCUAGGGGAGCAAAAGGG